rnacentral:ribozyme from 1 species
GCUGCUCGAAUAAUAUCACAUACCUCACUGUGGUGGACAGAUGGCAACGCUGAUAAAGCGGCUAAGAUGUGAAA